UUUUCAGUUUUUUAUAUUAAUUAUUUCAAAAUAAACACAUGUUACUAAUGAUAACUAAGAUUCUUUAAUUUUUUUAUAUUAAUAAAUACAAAAUAAACACAUGUUACUUAAUAAUUUAGAUUCUUCAAUUUUUUUAGUUUCUUUUUUAUCGAUUGGUCCAAUUAUUCCUGUUUUAAUUUGAUUGGUAAAAGUAACAUGUCAUAAGAAUCUUAGAAGAAAAUGGUGAAAAAAAGUUAAGUGAGCCAAUGAGCCCUGUCGAGUUUGAUGUUCAUACAUCAAUCAUAGAAAAAUUAUUAUAUUUGUCGCCCACAAGAAAUUGUGUAAUUAUCAGUUAUCGAGGUGAGUUUUGGAGGGAUGGAAUGGAAGUUAAAAAGUUUGUUGUGCCCCUCUGUAUUUAUAUGAUUCCACUCUAAAUUUUGCUAAAGUUAAUAUAAUCGAUUCUAAAUAAUAAUAAGGACCAUGAUAUGUUAACAACUUUUUGACAAUGAACAAUGCAUAUAUCACUACUUUAUUAUCUGUAUAUUUGAAAAUUUUGGUCACAUUCAAAUAAAUUACUUUGAAAAAUUUAAUAGUUAUAAUAAGUUAUUAAU
rnacentral:lncRNA from 1 species